UACGUAGGGGGCAAGCGUUGUCCGGAUUUAUUGGGCGUAAAGAGCGUGUAGGCGGCCAGAUAGGUCAGCUGUGAAAACUUGAGGCUCAACCUCGAGAUGGCGGCUGAAACCAUCUGGCUAGAGUCCGGAAGAGGAGAAUGGAAUUCCCGGUGUAGCGGUGAAAUGCGCAGAUAUCGGGAAGAACACCCGUGGCGAAGGCGGUUCUCUGGGACGGUACUGACGCUGAGACGCGAAAGCGUGGGGAGCGAACAGG
rnacentral:rRNA from 1 species